UACGUAGGGGGCAAGCGUUGUCCGGAUUUAUUGGGCGUAAAGAGCGUGUAGGCGGCCAGGUAGGUGGGUUGUGAAAACUGGAGGCUCAACCUUCAGACGUCGACCCAAACCCACUGGCUAGAGUCCGGAAGAGGAGAGUGGAAUUCCGGUGUAGCGGUGAAAUGCUUAGAUAUCGUCAAGAACACCGAUAGUGAAGACAGCUUACUAAACUAUAACUGACGCUGAGGCACGAAAGUGUGGGGAUCAAACAGG
rnacentral:rRNA from 1 species